GGGAUAAUGAUAGGCGAGAGAAGGAUUAUCGGGACCGAGACCGUGAUUACCGUGGGAAUGGGCGUAGGAGCGGCGACAGGCAUGACAGGUAUGACAGGGAUGGUGCUAGAAGAAGACACGGUAGUCCCAGGCGGAGCAGGAGCCCAGUCAGGGAAGGGAGUGAAGAACGCAGAGCCAGGAUUGAACAAUGGAACAGAGAGAGGGAGGAGAAGCAGUGAGGGGACCGAGUUGGGUUGUUCCUACUGAGUAGUUCUUUUGUCAAUUUCUCUUAUUG
rnacentral:misc_RNA from 1 species